AUUGCAGGUGAGGACAGUGAAGGUCACCAAUGUCUCUCUUAGUGCAACUGUGCAAGACAUUAAGGAGUUCUUUUCCUUUUCAGGAGAUAUUGAUCAUGUGGAGAUGCAGAGGUUCAUAAAACCUGUCCAACUAGGCUGCCCCUUCUGUUUUCAUGUCCAUACUAAUUAAAUUUGUACCGCAGGUUAGCUAGAUCUCUACGUCAGUGCUUGAUUUGAUUUGUUUAACUUCCCGUCGUAAAAGUUGCUCAGAUCCCAUGUAGUUCAGCUUUGUUUUCUUAUAGAUCAAUUGGAUGUACUUGCUUUUUUGUAUAAAGGAUUGAGGGAGAGGAAGCAAAAAUGACUGUAUGGGAGAAUAUGCAGAAAGCUGAAGCAGAAGCAGCCAUACAAAAGCUUGUGAUAAAACUUGAAAAGAAAAGGCCAUACUCGCUGGAGAGGAUUUUCAACACCCUUAGGUCUGGCUCUCGGAAGACACAGGUGGUACGCAGUACAUCAACCGCAAAUCAGAAUCAGCAUAUUUCCAGAACUAUCAAAACGGCGCCAAACCUCAGCAAGAACGGUCAAAUGAGUUCAUUGAGUGGAUGCUUCAGACAGGAUCUAUAGCAUGGAUCAUAAUCUGGAUUGUCCUUAAGUUUUUAUUGUGCUAGGGGAACAUAAGAAAGUAUGUAGAGCAAAAUGAGAGGAGCUGUUGUUACCCUCAAUUCUUUGUGAUUAUUGUGCUAGAGUGAUGUAGUUGUUGGCUUUUGAACAAUAGCUGGAGUGAUAUGAAACAUUAGUGAUCUAGUUGUGAAUGAUAUUAUAAUUGUGAUGCUUUUGUGAAUAUAUAAUUGUGGUGCUUUUGUGUUUAUG